UCCGCGUAUAAUUUAUUCAAUUCAUCUUUCAUUCUGAAACAAAUUCAUUUUCCUUUUUAAAAACAAAACAAACAGUUGUUUAUAAUGUCUGUGUCAUUUUGGUCUCUUGUGGACAGUUGUCUCAUUGGCAAUCAUACCAUAUCUUCUUUUUUAUAUGCAAACCAAAGAGUGAUGGAAAUCUGCUGAGCACCACAAAAUGCAUGAAUGUGUGGUAUUCUUUAUCAUUAUUUUGAUUUCAAAAAAGAACAUGAUGGAUCCAAGUCUAUUUUUGAGAUUUACGGACCGUUUUGACUGCUGUGGAACCUAACAGACACUGAAUGGAAAUUUUACUUAUGUUUUAUAGAUAUUGCAAAGGAAAUUUAAAUAUCAAAUAUAGGCUCCAAAUUAUGUCUCCAG
rnacentral:lncRNA from 1 species